CUUGGGAAUAAGGAGUGAAAACAUUAAAAGAAUGCCCCAUUCUGACACUGAUGUCUAGGCAUGCAUGCAUCUGUGUUUGGGAAUUUUUCUGUUCCUACAAGGGAGGGCCAGGUUUAGGAGCAUGAUUUGACUUAUUCUGUAAAUCUAAGGCACAUCAAGGAUGCUUUAUAAAAUGGGACUUUUUAAAAGUUACACUUGUUAACACUUAAUGCUUUUUUGGUCAACCAAUAUGAAAAUAUGUUGUCACGUACUUCGUAGCUUAAAGGCUAGAAUUAGAAGUUAGUAAAAUUGAAAUAUAAUCAUUGAAUUGAUUCAUUAAGUCUUUAAGUUCUCUUGCAUUAAGGAACUGCUAAGCAUUAAUUUUCCUUGGAUUUUGCUAAUGUAAUUGGACUUAAGCUCAUACUCAAACUGAGGUUAUAUAUAUGUACAUGUAUGUAGAAGAAAUGAUGGCGGUUACUGUAGCUGUACUUGUGAAAAACUAGGAUACUUUUCUUGGCAGCAUUACUAAUGUCAUAUCAAGAGAUUGCCUCAAAC
rnacentral:lncRNA from 1 species